rnacentral:rRNA from 1 species
UUUCCNGCUCAGAUUGAACGCUGGCGGCAGGCUUAACACAUGCAAGUCGAACGGUAGCAGGAGAAAGCUUGCUUUCUUGCUGACGAGUGGCGGACGGGUGAGUAAUGCUUGGGAAUCUGGCUUAUGGAGGGGGAUAACGACGGGAAACUGUCGCUAAUACCGCGUAUUAUCGGAAGAUGAAAGUGCGGGACUGAGAGGCCGCAUGCCAUAGGAUGAGCCCAAGUGGGAUUAGGUAGUUGGUGGGGUAAAUGCCUACCAAGCCUGCGAUCUCUAGCUGGUCUGAGAGGAUGACCAGCCACACUGGAACUGAGACACGGUCCAGACUCCUACGGGAGGCAGCAGUGGGGAAUAUUGCGCAAUGGGGGGAACCCUGACGCAGCCAUGCCGCGUGAAUGAAGAAGGCCUUCGGGUUGUAAAGUUCUUUCGGUAUUGAGGAAGGUUGAUGUGUUAAUAGCACAUCAAAUUGACGUUAAAUACAGAAGAAGCACCGGCUAACUCCGUGCCAGCAGCCGCGGUAAUACGGAGGGUGCGAGCGUUAAUCGGAAUAACUGGGCGUAAAGGGCACGCAGGCGGUUAUUUAAGUGAGGUGUGAAAGCCCUGGGCUUAACCUAGGAAUUGCAUUUCAGACUGGGUAACUAGAGUACUUUAGGGAGGGGUAGAAUUCCACGUGUAGCGGUGAAAUGCGUAGAGAUGUGGAGGAAUACCGAAGGCGAAGGCAGCCCCUUGGGAAUGUACUACG